AAAAUUUUUUUGCUAAGAUCAAGUGUAGUAUCCAUUCUUACCAGUUUAAUAUCUGAUAUGUCAUCUAUUCAAGGACAAUACAUUAUUAACACUCCAC
rnacentral:snRNA from 1 species